rnacentral:lncRNA from 1 species
AUGUUGAUCAACAAUCUCCAUAUAUAUGUGUUUUGUCGGAAAUAAUUGAAAUAUUUAGAUUUUUAAAAAUAUUCACACAGAGGUAGAUGUUUUUAUGUUUUUAAUACUGUUUUUGUUCGCUUGAAAGCUUUUUUAAAUGGAACUGCAGAACUGUAAGCAAAUUCAUGCUUUUCAUUGAUAUGGAAACUAAGUUGUUUGGUACUUCGAAUAUGAAUUCUAAAUAAAAUGACUCUCGAAAACAUAUUUAACCUUGUUUACUCGUUGGAGACUUAUCAAGCUAAACUUCUUUUUGAUCAUGAUUGACAAUAAAUCGAACCAUAAUCUGAACCAAGGACGUGUACAGAUCCUUGUCUGAACAUAGAAAAGGUAAAAUGAUCCAUGUUUGCAAUAGGUGAUAUUUUAAGAACAUUACUUCAGGAUUGCAUAAGUAAUAAUGAAAAUGAACAGUGGUGAUAAAAAAAAAAUCCUAGGCGUUAAAUAUAUAAAGAUUAUCAUAUAUAACAUUUUCAAAUGAUCAUAAUUUGUCUUCUCAUCUUAUGUUUGUAAUUACUAUAAUAGAAAAUUAAAGGAUAUGGAAUAUCCAAUGAUGACACAAA